GAUCAUGGCUCAGGAUGAACGCUGGCGGCGUGCCUAACACAUGCAAGUCGAACGGAGCUGCUUUGAUGAGAUCUUCGGAUGGAUUUAAAACAGCUUAGUGGCGGACGGGUGAGUAACGCGUGGGUAACCUGCCUCACACUGGGGGAUAACAGUUAGAAAUAGCUGCUAAUACCGCAUAAGCGCACGGUUCCGCAUGGAACAGUGUGAAAAACUCCGUGUGUGAGA
rnacentral:rRNA from 1 species